rnacentral:rRNA from 1 species
UACGUAGGGUGCAAGCGUUGUCCGGAAUUAUUGGGCGUAAAGAGCUCGUAGGCGGUCUGUCACGUCGGCUGUGAAAACCCGAGGCUCAACCUCGGGCCUGCAGUCGAUACGGGCAAACUAGAGUACUGCAGGGGAGACUGGAAUUCCUGGUGUAGCGGUGAAAUGCGCAGAUAUCAGGAGGAACACCGGUGGCGAAGGCGGGUCUCUGGGCCGAUGAACUGACGCUGGAGGAGCGAAAGCGUGGGGAGCGAACAGG